GGCGAAGCUGAGAACUUAAGCGCCAGUAAACGGCGGUGGUAACUAUAACCAUCCUAAGGUAGCGAAAUUCCUUGUCGGGUAAGUUCCGACCUGCACGAAUGGCGUAACGACUUCUCGGCUGUCUCAACCAUAGGCCCGGUGAAAUUGCACUACGAGUAAAGAUGCUCGUUUCGCGCAGCAGGACGGAAAGACCCCGGGACCUUUACUACAGUUUGAUAUUGGUGUUCGGUUCGGCUUGUGUAGGAUAGCUGGGAGACUUUGAUGCAUGCACGCCAGUGUGUGUGGAGUCGUCGUUGAAAUACCAGUCUGGUCGUGCUGGAUGUCUAACCUGGGUCCGUGAUCCGGAUCAGGGACAGUGUCUGAUGGGUAGUUUAACUGGGGCGGUUGCCUCCUAAAGGGUAACGGAGGCGCCCAAAGGUUCCCUCAGCCUGGUUGGUAAUCAGGUGUUGAGUGUAAGUGCACAAGGGAGCUUGACUGUGAGACCGACGGGUCGAGCAGGGACGAAAGUCGGGACUAGUGAUCCGGCGGUGGCUUGUGGAAGCGCCGUCGCUCAACGGAUAAAAGGUACCCCGGGGAUAACAGGCUGAUCUUCCCCAAGAGUCCAUAUCGACGGGAUGGUUUGGCACCUCGAUGUCGGCUCGUCGCAUCCUGGGGCUGGAGUCGGUCCCAAGGGUUGGGCUGUUCGCCCAUUAAAGCGGUACGCGAGCUGGGUUUAGAACGUCGUGAGACAGUUCGGUCCCUAUCCGCUGUGCGCGUAGGAGUCUUGAGAAGGGCUGUCCCUAGUACGAGAGGACCGGGACGGACGAACCUCUGGUGUGCCAGUUGUUCUGCCAAGGGCAUGGCUGGUUGGCUACGUUCGGGAGGGAUAACCGCUGAAAGCAUCUAAGCGGGAAGCCUGCUUCGAGAUGAGGGCUCCCACCCACUUGAUGGGGUAAGGCUCCCAGUAGACGACUGGGUUGAUAGGCCAGAUAUGGAAGCACUGUAAAGUGUGGAGUUGACUGGUACUAAUAGGCCGAGGGCUUGUCCUC
rnacentral:rRNA from 1 species